rnacentral:rRNA from 1 species
GUAAACAAAACUAUUUCGCCAGAGUACUACCGGCAAUAGCUUAAAACUCAAAGGACUUGGCGGUGCUUUACACCCUUCUAGAGGAGCCUGUUCUAUAAUCGAUAAACCCCGAUAAACCUCACCAUUCCUUGCUAAUACAGUCUAUAUACCGCCAUCUUCAGCAAACCCUAAAAAGGAACAAAAGUAAGCACAAUCAUAAUACAUAAAAACGUUAGGUCAAGGUGUAACCUAUGGAACGGAAAGAAAUGGGCUACAUUUUCUAAUCUAAGAAAAUCCAACACGAAAGUUAUUAUGAAAUUAAUAACCAAAGGAGGAUUUAGCAGUAAACUAAGAAUAGAG